rnacentral:rRNA from 1 species
CUACGGGCCGCUGCAGUGGGGAAUAUUGCACAAUGGGGGAAACCCUGAUGCAGCAACGCCGCGUGGAGGAUGACGCAUUUCGGUGUGUAAACUCCUUUUAUAUCCCAAGAUAAUGACGGUAGGAUAUGAAUAAGCACCGGCUAACCCCGUGCCAGCAGCCGCGGUAAUACGGAGGGUGCAAGCGUUACUCGGAAUCACUGGGCGUAAAGGGCGCGUAGGCGGGUUGUCAAGUCUUGAGUGAAAUCCAACGGCUCAACCGUUGAACUGCUUGAGAAACUGGCAGCCUAGAGUAAGGGAGAGGUAGAUGGAAUUGGUGGUGUAGGGGUAAAAUCCGUAGAGAUCACCAGGAAUACCCAUUGCGAAGGCGAUCUGCUGGAACUUUACUGACGCUGAGGCGCGAAAGCGUGGGGAGCAAACAGGAUUAGAUACCCCCGUAGUC